GUGCCAGCCGCCGCGGUAAUACGUAGGUCCCGAGCGUUGUCCGGAUUUAUUGGGCGUAAAGCGAGCGCAGGCGGUUUGAUAAGUCUGAAGUUAAAGGCUGUGGCUCAACCAUAGUUCGCUUUGGAAACUGUCAAACUUGAGUGCAGAAGGGGAGAGUGGAAUUCCAUGUGUAGCGGUGAAAUGCGUAGAUAUAUGGAGGAACACCGGUGGCGAAAGCGGCUCUCUGGUCUGUAACUGACGCUGAGGCUCGAAAGCGUGGGGAGCGAACAGGAUUAGAUACCCUGGUAGUCCACGCCGUAAACGAUGAGUGCUAGGUGUUGGAUCCUUUCCGGGAUUCAGUGCCGCAGCUAACGCAUUAAGCACUCCGCCUGGGGAGUACGACCGCAAGGUUGAAACUCAAAUAAAUUGACGG
rnacentral:rRNA from 1 species